GAUGAACGCUGGCGGCGUGCCUAAUACAUGCAAGUCGAGCGAACGGACGAGAAGCUUGCUUCUCUGAUGUUAGCGGCGGACGGGUGAGUAACACGUGGAUAACCUACCUAUAAGACUGGGAUAACUUCGGGAAACCGGAGCUAAUACCGGAUGAUAUUUUGAACCGCAUGGUUCAAAAGUGAAAGCCGGUCUUGCUGUCACUUAUAGAUGGAUCCGCGCUGCAUUAGCUAGUUGGUAAGGUAACGGCUUACCAAGGCAACGAUGCAUAGCCGACCUGAGAGGGUGAUCGGCCACACUGGAACUGAGACACGGUCCAGACUCCUACGGGAGGCAGCAGUAGGGAAUCUUCCGCAAUGGGCGAAAGCCUGACGGAGCAACGCCGCGUGAGUGAUGAAGGUCUUCGGAUCGUAAAACUCUGUUAUUAGGGAAGAACAUAUGUGUAAGUAACUGUGCACAUCUUGACGGUACCUAAUCAGAAAGCCACGGCUAACUACGUG
rnacentral:rRNA from 1 species